UGCCCCUCACUUGCCAAUACGUCUAGAUCAGCCAGGGCGUCGGCAUGUGUAGCGUAUUAUGUUGGGCUCUCUCGAGAUAAGGAUACGAUGUCCCUUUAUCGGUUGGUUUCCUGUGUGCGCGGCCCGUUCGUUUUUUUGUUACUUUCGCAUCGUUCGGUGCAUUCUGGGGGCUGUGUUGGCUUUUGGUGGCUCGCUUGGCCUUUUGGCUUUGCUUGUUGCUACUUGUCGGGCUGCCUUCGGGAAUGUCGACCGUGGAGGUGCAUGAGUGGUGUUUGGUUUGUUACGUGUGGAUGGCUGUUUGCUUGUGCAACAACGUUCACGCUGCAUACCUCUUCAGUUUUGCAGCAAGGCUUGGUUUGGCUUGUGCAUAUUGUGGGUUUCCUGUGUUGCAUACCUAGUCGAUGGAAAAGUGUGGGUUUUACGAUUUUCAUUUUCGUCUUGCGUCGUUCUUUCGGCGUGGGAUGAACAAUGAAGCGAUCUUUAUGAUCCAUCGUGCUGUUGCGUUUGCAACAAUGAUGUGGCAUAUGAAGCAUCGUUUGGUCUCUUGUAUACGGAAGCUCAUUUGGGCUUGGGUCUUUAUAAGAUCUUCGUUACGCCCUUGUUAAGCGUUCUCGCUUCUCCUAAACGAUUG
rnacentral:misc_RNA from 1 species